AGCACUUGUGUGUGUAUCUUUGUUUAAUUUGUAACAAAGCCUUACAGACAGGUGCAAAUAGCAAAUCCUCUCUUGCAACCCAGAACUCAUUUUUGAAUAUGAGAUUUUGGUACAUGUAAGAAGGAAUAUG
ensembl:snoRNA